rnacentral:misc_RNA from 1 species
GUUUUCCAGGUUGUUGAAGGCAAUAGACUGAGAAACCAGAAACACCAUACAAAACAGGUUGUACUACUUAGAAUUGUGAUCUUCAACCAAGGUGUGACUAUUGGAUGCCAGUGUCGCAGUGAACUAAUGGUACUGUGGUGGAACUGUUGAACACAGAUCCAUGGACCCUAUGGUCAGUCCAUCGAGCAUGAGGACCGAGAUAAAUUGUGCUGCUUCCUCUAUACCGGGAACAUUAAAAAUAAUUACCUGAAAAAACUUUUCUUGUUACAUACACACCAUAACAUGAACAAGUCAUGUCAGUAUUGUCAGUUAAUAUGCCUUUUGUUUGUUUUUAAAAUGAACUUAUGAAUAU